rnacentral:rRNA from 1 species
GACAGAGGGUGCGAACGUUGUUCGGAAUUACUGGGCGUAAAGCGCAUGUAGGCGGCAGCGCAAGUCGGGCGUGAAAUCCCACGGCUCAACCGUGGAAGUGCACUCGAAACUGCGCAGCUAGAGUCCUGGAGAGGAAGGUGGAAUGCUUGGUGUAGAGGUGAAAUUCGUAGAUAUCAAGCGGAACACCGGUGGCGAAGGCGGCUUCUUGGGCCGUUCCUGACGCUGAGGCGCGAAAGCUGGGGGAGCGAACGGG